rnacentral:misc_RNA from 1 species
AACACCUCAAGUCAAGAGAAUUUUUUUAUAUUCUCAAGACUUGGAUUUGAGUGAUCCUAACCGUUUAUUUAUUUUAAUAUAUGGGCAGGUCAUUUGAAAUUCAGGUGCAGCUGAACUUUUCUUCUGAGCUAAAAGCAUUAUUUUAUUUAGUCUCCGGACUAUUACUUUUUGCUGCAGCUAACAUAAAGGAAGAGAAUGUUUCAUUUAUGGCUGACUGAUGCAGGAAUUUAUCAGUUUUUCUUCUAAAACUGUUAG